UCCUGUUUCUUGGAUCAGCUGAUCUUUUCACUAUGGCAGGGUUAUUGGAAUUUUUCUUUACAGAAGCACCAAUUAAAAUGAGAUCUUGGGCCACAUCACUUACUUGGGCUUCUUUGGCUUUAGGUUAUUACCUAAGUUCAGUGAUUAUAUCAAUAGUUAAUAGUGUCACUGGUAAAUCAUCCCAUAAACCUUGGUUAUCUGGUUCAAACCUUAAUCACUAUCAUUUGGAGAGGUUUUAUUGGCUUAUGUGUGUACUUAGUGGGUUGAAUUUCCUCCAUUACUUGGUUUGGGCUAUUAGGUACAAGUAUAGAGGAACAGGAAACUACAAGUGAUGAGUGUAGAUUAGAAUGGUUAAAAAAAUGAAAAUUUUCAAAUGUUACUUCAUUUUUAAGUACUUUAAGUUUACAAAUUAAGCUUUUGUUCAAAAUUUUGUCAUCUUCUAUAGUUGUAAUUGUUCAUACUUCUCUUUUUAGGAUGUAAUUAUUCAUAUUUGCACUUGCUUUUCAGCACUUAUAUAAUUAAAUUUAUAUUUUAUAAAACUUAUGUAUAGUGAAGGACAAAGAAAUCUAAAACAUAAGUCUCUCAUGAAAUAUAAGUUUUAUAAUAAUUUAUUUGUCCCUCAUGAAGCAUAAGUUUAGAUUUCUUUGUCCCUUAAUGGGCCUUGCUUUACAGCUUUGAACUAGAUUUUUCUUCACCCACAUGACAGAAAUCGGGUCGCAACAACCCAUUUUGACCCGGUUCGAUCUCUCUAUUUAAGCAACGAAACGCAACAAUAUUUAUACGAUUUUGAUGGUGGUGCAAUAAUAAGAGAAACCCCUAUGAUAUUUUUAAUAAUCAUCAACGUAAUCGUGAAAAAUUUCAAAUCGAAAAGAAUAUAGGCUUCUUCACGGAUCUAAAAAUGAAAUUUAGAUCUUGAUUAUUUCUCAAAAGAAAUGGAGAAACCAUUAUUAUAGUUUUUGUGUGUAUUAAGUUAAUAAAUAUUUAACUUAUAUUAUAAGUUCUAAAAAUAUAAAUAUGUGCAAAUAUACACAUAAUUAAUGAAAUAAAUAAAGAUGAUGAGAAAUGGAGAAAAUCCUAAUCUGUAAAAAUGCAAACAGAAGACCACGUCAUUAACUAUCUUUAUACUAGAUAGACUUCAAUUAUACAUCUAUUUUAAGUAAAAACUAAAAUAUUUAUGUCAGGGUAUUACUUUACAUAAUAUAAUUUUUAAACUAAUAGAAAGUUAUCCAAGGUAACAAAUAACUAUUAGAAGUGAAGUGCAAAUUAAAAGUGUUGAGAUUUUAGGGUGUACAUAUAAGUCCCUUAAUUGAGAAAAUAUUUUUAAACCUUAAUUUAUAAAAUUGUUAUUGUUUUGUGGGUGUAAACAAGGACUCAUGGUCAUUUUUUUUCUAUGAGUUGAGACUACGAGUUGAGACUUAUUUAAUUUUCUUUUUUUUAUAAAACUUUAUUAUAUUUAAAUGCUUUUAAAAAUAAAAAAUUCUAAAAAGAAAUUGAUAUUUUUCUAAUUAAAGAAAUAAAUUCUUUGAAAACUAUCGAUAAAAAAACCAGUUUACAAAACCUGCUUCACAAAUUUUUAUAUAUAUAUAUAUAUAUUUUUUUUUUUUUGAAACUUCUUUUAGUGGAGUCUUUUGACCCUUCCAUUAUGCGAUAUGUUAGAUGUGACCAAUAAAUAAGAAAUUUACAAAAUUAACAUCUAUAAAUAUAAAUAUAAUUUUUUAUGUUAACUUAUGAUAAGAUAUAUAUUCCAUUUAAUCCAUGCUAUAUCACCCCUUAACAAUUUUUCACUUAAUGUAAUGUUUACUUAGCUAGCUACUUACAAUAAGGUUAUCCACGUAUGACAAUGUAUUUUUAUGCUAACAUUUUAUCAUUAAUUUUAUUUUUAUAUGUAUAUAUUUGUGUAUACCUCAAAUUCUAUAAUUAUAUUAGAUUAAAUGUAUUAAAACAUAUAUAUAUAUAUAUAUAUAUAUAUUAUAUAAAUAAAUUAUAAAUUUUAAUCACAAUUAUAUACAAAAAUUUAGUAAAAUAUACAUACACAUUAGUGGAAUAAAAAUAUAGAUAAAUAGAAAUAUAGUGGCCGUCUACAUGCUAAUAUAUAAAAUCAAUAUCAAGUUUUAGUAUUUUUUCUUUAUAUUUUAUCAUCAUUUAAAUUAAUUUAUUUACUAUUCUAUUCUCAUUUAUUCAAUAAUUUUUUAAAUACUUAUAAAAUUUAUUAUUCUACUAUUUUUGAUGAAAAAUGAAAAGAAAAAGAUAUAGACAAAAUUUAAUAUGGAUCAUGGUCCACCCUAAAUCAUACUUGAAAAAUUAAUAAAACUUCAGAUUUUGCAUCAAAUUUUCCAAUGAGAUCUUUGUUGUUUAAAAUGUAAUAGUAACACCCAAAGAUGUGAAAGUAAGAGAUGUUUGGUUUUCUAUUUUUCUAGAUUUCAUAUGGGGUUUUGUUAAUGAUCUUUUUGAUAGAUACACGAUUUGGAAUAUAGCAAGAUGUGUUUAUGGCUUCAGCCCAAAAAUAUCUUUCAACAUUUGAUUCUUCUAAAAUAGUUCUUGCCAUUUCUUGUAGUGUUCUAUUUUUUUCGUUCAACAACUUCAUUUUGUUGUGGAAUUCUUGCACAUGAGAGAUUAUGAGAAAUGUCAAGUUCAUCAAAAAAAAAAUUUAAUGAAGCAUUUAUGAAUUCUCCUCAAUGAUCACUUCUUACAGAAAUAAUACUUGAUUCUUUUUCAUUUUGAACCUUUUUACAAAAUGUUUUGAAUGCUUCAAAAGCAUCAUCUUUUUGUUUCAAAAAUAGUACCCAUGUAAAUCUUGAAAAAUCAUCAACAAUAACAAAACCAUAUUUCAUUCCUCCUAUACUUGUUGUUUUGACUGACCCAAAUAAAUCAAUGUGAAGUAGUUCAAGAGUUCUAUUUGUUGUUACAAAAUCUUUUGAGUGGAUGCUACUUUUGACUUGUUUUCCUUUUGCACAAGCUUCGCAUAUUUUAUCUUUUUCAAAGUUGAGUUUUGGUAAUCCUCUAACAAGGUCUAGUUUAGAGAUCUUUGAAAUGGUUUUCAUACUUAUAUGUCCAACCCUUUUAUGCCAAAUCUAUUUAUCUUUAUUGAUUGAUAUGAAACAUGAUUCAUCAGGUAGUUCUUCAAGAUAUAAAACAUAUAAAUUUUUCUUUCGAUUUCCAGAAAAAAGAAUUUCUUCAGUUUUUGUUUUUCUGAUUUCACAUACCUUUGGUUUAAAAAUGACUUCACAUCCAUUGUCACAUAGCUGACUUAUACUUAACAGAUUGUGUUUUAAACCUUCCACAUAUUGAACAUCAUUUAUUUGAGCAGAGUUUGUCUUAAAAUACUACCAAUAUUUGGUUGCACAAUUGUCCUAAAUUGUUGUCUAGCUCAACUAUCAACAUUCUCAAUUGAACAAGCUGCAACAAUGAACACAAAAGUUGGUUCCUUACAAGUGCCACCAGCCUCAUUACCAAUUUUCCCAGUACUAUUUAUCAUGACCCUAGCACCAAUUUAUGACCAUAUAAUAAUCCCAUAUGCCAGAAAAGUAACAAAAUCAGAAAUGGGAAUCACUCAUCUCCAAAGAAUUGGAAUUGGAUUAGUACUCUCUAUAUUUGCUAUGGCAAUUGCAGCUGUAGUUGAAGUGAAAAGAAAAAGAGUAGCAACAAAUUCAGGUGAGAAAUAUAUAGUUGGUAACAACUGCAAAUAAAAAUUAAGUUUGAUUGUACUUUUAUCUUUAUAUUUUAUCACAUUCACAAAAAUUGUUUCACUAUUUUAAAAUUAAUUUUUUUUUAUCUUUUAAUUAUCAUAUUUGUUGCAACAUUGGUCCUAACCUAUAAUUUUUAACUAAAAAAUUAUGAUUUUUAGCCUCAAUAGUGGUGAUUUUUCCCAGUCAAAAUCUAUGUUGGGAUCAAAACUGAAACAAAUGUAAUAAUUGAGAGAAAAAAAAUUAAUUUUAAAAUCAAAGAUUAUUUUCUUGAAUGUGAUAAAAUAGAGAGACAAAAAAAUGUAAUUGAACCUAAAAACUACGUGGGUGCAAAAAUAAAAUUUAUACAUCCUUUAAUUAUUUUAAAAAUAAACAUCAUUUAAUUCUUGCUUAUUUUCUAUAUUUUUCAGGUCUACUUGAUGAUGCAACAAAACCAUUACCUAUCACAUUUUUUUGGAUUGCUUUUCAGUUCCUGUUUCUUGGAUCAGCUGAUCUUUUCACUAUGGCAGGGUUAUUGGAAUUUUUCUUUACAGAAGCACCAAUUAAAAUGAGAUCUUGGGCCACAUACCUUACUUGGGCUUCUUUGGCUUUAGGUUAUUACCUAAGUUCAGUGAUUAUAUCAAUAGUUAAUAGUGUCACUGGUAAAUCAUCCCAUAAACCUUGGUUAUCUGGUUCAAACCUUAAUCACUAUCAUUUGGAGAGGUUUUAUUGGCUUAUGUGUGUACUUAGUGGGUUGAAUUUCCUCCAUUACUUGGUUUGGGCUAUUAGGUACAAGUAUA
rnacentral:lncRNA from 1 species